UGAGGUGUAGCUCAGUGGUAAAGUGCUUACCUACUAUGUGUAAGGCACUGGGUUUGAUUCUCAGCACCACAU
rnacentral:tRNA from 1 species